ACGGAAGGCAGCAGUGGGGAAUAUUGGACAAUGGGCGAAAGCCUGAUCCAGCGACGCCGCGUGAGUGAAGAAGUAUUUCGGUAUGUAAAGCUCUAUCAGCAGGGAAGAUAAUGACGGUACCUGACUAAGAAGCCCCGGCUAACUACGUGCCAGCAGCCGCGGUAAUACGUAGGGGGCAAGCGUUAUCCGGAUUUACUGGGUGUAAAGGGAGCGUAGGCGGCACGGCAAGCCAGAAGUGAAAACCCAGGGCUUAACUCUGGGAUUGCUUUUGGAACUGUCGAGCUAGAUUGCAGGAGAGGUAAGUGGAAUUCCUAGUGUAGCGGUGAAAUGCGUAGAUAUUAGGAGGAACACCAGUGGCGAAGGCGGCUUACUGGACUGUAAAUGACGCUGAGGCUCGAAAGCGUGGGGAGCAAACAGGAUUAGAUACCCUGGUA
rnacentral:rRNA from 2 species